rnacentral:lncRNA from 1 species
AUGACAGGGAUGUCAACAACCUUGAUUUCUUCCCUUAACCUAUGGAGCAACAAGAACAAUCUAUUUGAUUCACUUAAAGGCACUUGCAGAUUUGUCCGUUCUUCAGCAAACUACAAGCAGCAUAAGCAGAAUAAGGGAAAUUACACUAAUUAUCCUAAAGGUAAAUAUCAAGAGAUACAAUCCACAUAAAGAUAAGCAAGCUCUUUGAGC